GAUGAACGCUGGCGGCGUGCCUAAUACAUGCAAGUCGAGCGAACAGACGAGAGUGCUUGCACUCUCUGACGUUAGCGGCGGACGGGUGAGUAACACGUGGGUAACCUACCUAUAAGACUGGGAUAACUUCGGGAAACCGGAGCUAAUACCGGAUAAUAUUUAGCUUCGCAUGACGCAAUAGUGAAAGACGGUUCUGCUGUCACUUAUAGAUGGACCCGCGGUGUAUUAGCUAGUUGGUGAGGUAACGGCUCACCAAGGCAACGAUACAUAGCCGACCUGAGAGGGUGAUCGGCAACACUGGGACUGAGACACGGCCCAGACUCCUACGGGAGGCAGCAGUAGGGAAUCUUCCGCAAUGGACGAAAGUCUGACGGAGCAAUGCCGCGUGAGUGAAGAAGGUUUUCGGAUCGUAAAACUCUGUUGUAAGGGAAGAACAAGUACGUUAGUAACUGAACGUACCUGGACGGUACCUUACCAGAAAGCCACGGCUAACUACGU
rnacentral:rRNA from 1 species